rfam:Atopostipes suicloacalis DSM 15692 genome assembly, contig: EJ15DRAFT_scaffold00004.4
CCAUCCUUUUAUGUCAGUAAGCUGAUAUGUACUGACAUAAAACGGUGAUACUCAAUGACUUAAUUAACGUAUUGCUUUGCCGUGAUGACACCGAAGCGAUACGUUUUUUG